rnacentral:rRNA from 1 species
AGUGAACGCUGGCGGCGUGCUUAACACAUGCAAGUCGAACGAGAACGGAAUAUAGCUUGCUAUAUUUGUCAGCUAAGUGGCGCACGGGUGAGUAAUGUAUAGAUAACCUGCCCUUAAGAAAGGAAUAACAGUUGGAAACGACUGCUAAUGCCCUAUAUGCCUUUAAUACAUAAGUAUGCAAGGGAAACGCUUUAGUGCUUAAGGAUGGGUCUGUAUGGUAUCAGCUUGUUGGUGAGGUAAUGGCUCACCAAGGCUAUGACGCCUAACUGGUUUGAGAGGAUGAUCAGUCACACUGGAACUGAGACACGGUCCAGACUCCUACGGGAGGCAGCAGUGGGGAAUAUUGCACAAUGGACGAAAGUCUGAUGCAGCAACGCCGCGUGGAGGACGACACAUUUCGGUGCGUAAACUCCUUUUAUAUAGGAAGAUAAUGACGGUACUAUAUGAAUAAGUACCGGCUAACUCCGUGCCAGCCGCCGCGGUAA